AUUGAACGCUGGCGGCAGGCCUAACACAUGCAAGUCGAACGAGUGGCGGACGGGUGAGUAGUGUCUGGGAAACUGCCCGAUGGAGGGGGAUAACUACUGAAACCAGUAGCUAAUAACGCAUACCAUCGGAUGGGCCCAGAUGGGAUUGGCUAGGAGGUGGGGUAACGGCUCACGUAGGCGACGAUCCCUAGAUGGGCGGAGAGGAUGACCUGCCACACUGGAACUGAGACACGGUCCAGAUGCCGACGGGAGGCAGAGGUGGGGAAUAUUGCAAAAGGGGCGCAAGCCUGAUGCAGACAUGCGGCGGGUAUGAAGAAGGCCUUCGGGUGGUAAAGUACUUUCAGCGAGGAGGCGUUACUCGCAGAGGAAGCACCGGCUAACUCCGUGCCAGCAGCCGCGGGAAUAC
rnacentral:rRNA from 1 species